AGUUAACACGCAUUUCCAGAUAUACUGGACCUACUCUCUCUAGCAUGGUGAAUCUGGCAGCACCGUGCUAGCAUGGAGGAGCCUAGCCCAGGAGGCCAUGAGACAAAAACAGGCAUUCUGCAUGGAGGCUUGCAGUGCCAGCGUUACAGAUACAACACAAAUGUUCCAGGUGGAAGAAGGGAUUCAAACGGAAUGCCAAGGUCCAAGCCAGGCUCAGGAAAUCAAAAGGAAGGUUUGGAGUAAUGGAGAAGAUGGACUCCAACAUGCUCUAGGGAUUGAUUUAGCACCAGGACAAGAUUAAGUCUGGAUGCAAAAGUCACCAGUUAUCACAGCUGGAAGUGGUGGAGGUGCACAACCAUCAACACUCUUUAUAGAAGCUUAAGCAGCUAUGAUGGUUCUUCUUAUGCAAGAUUCAACAGUUUAUAUCUCUCCUAAAGGCCUUCCCCUUCAAAAGGAAUUCCAGGAUUUGAAGGGCGCACUCACGAGCUGCAGGGGAGCCAAAAGGCUCCCAACUAUGUGAUUUUAGGAAAAGAUCCUAAUAUUAUUUCCUAUUUUACAAAUGGAAAAAUGGAGAUGCCAAAAUACUUAUGAUUUGGAAAAGACUACAAAGGUCAUUCCAGAGCUAAACUCCUGUAAGAGAAAUGGAUAUUGCUAUUCAAUUAAUAGCUAAAUUGGCAGAGAGCAUAGUAUACAAGAUAAACUAGGAAGCAAUUGACAGCAGAGGCUGGAAGGGAUAGAGAGCACCACUGAGCAGAGGGAGAAACCAGAAUCAGGACCAGAUAAUCCAGG